rnacentral:rRNA from 1 species
UACGAAGGGGGCUAGCGUUGUUCGGAAUUACUGGGCGUAAAGCGCACGUAGGCGGAUCGAUCAGUCAGGGGUGAAAUCCCAGGGCUCAACCCUGGAACUGCCUUUGAUACUGUCGAUCUGGAGUAUGGAAGAGGUGAGUGGAAUUCCGAGUGUAGAGGUGAAAUUCGUAGAUAUUCGGAGGAACACCGGUGGCGAAAGCGGCGCGCUGGAUCCCUACUGACGCUGAGGCACGAAAGCCAGGGGAGCAAACGGG